UAGAAGGUAGUAUAAAAAUUAUUAUAUAAAGCUGUUAACUUUAUGAUGUGAUCUAAAACCACCCUACUAG
rnacentral:tRNA from 1 species